rnacentral:rRNA from 1 species
AGUGCUAAGAGAAUGAUUUAACAAUUAAAGGCUUUCUUUAAUUUAAUAAUUGAAUUUAAUUUUUUAGUGCAAAAGCAAAAAUUGUAAUUAGGGACAAGAAGACCCUAUGAAUUUUUAUUUUUUAAUAAUAAUAAUUUCGUUAUUAAAGAAUUUAAUUGGGGUGAUGGAAAAAGAAUAAAUAUCUUUUUGGUAUAUAAAAAUUUAGUUCCGUUUUUAACGAUUUUAUGAAAAAAAUACUCUAGGGAUAACAGCGUAAUAAUUUUGGAUAGUUCAUAUAGAUAAAAUAGUUUGCGACCUCGAUGUUGGAUUAGGAUUCUUUUUCGGUGAAGAAGUUGAGAAGAAGAAGUUUGUU